rnacentral:tRNA from 1 species
UCAGUAGAUGGCCGAGUGGUCUAAGCGCUUGACUUUUACUCCAGGGCUCCAGGGGUCAGAGGUUCGAGCCCAGUUGAG